UACGGAGGGAGCUAGCGUUGUUCGGAAUUACUGGGCGUAAAGCGCACGUAGGCGGCUUUUCAAGUCAGGGGUGAAAUCCCGGGGCUCAACCCCGGAACUGCCCUUGAAACUGGAUGGCUAGAAUCUUGGAGAGGCGAGUGGAAUUCCGAGUGUAGAGGUGAAAUUCGUAGACAUUCGGAAGAACACCAGUGGCGAAGGCGACUCGCUGGACAAGUAUUGACGCUGAGGUGCGAAAGCGUGGGGAGCAAACAGG
rnacentral:rRNA from 1 species